rnacentral:lncRNA from 1 species
AGAUAAUUGUAUGGAAGAGAUACAGUGAUUUUAAGAAACUACACAAAGAACUAUGGCAAAUUCACAAAAACUUAUUCCGACAUUCAGAGUUGUUUCCUCCAUUUGCUAAAGGAAUAGUGUUUGGGCGAUUUGAUGAAACUGUUAUCGAAGAGAGAAGACAAUGUGCUGAAGACCUGCUACAGUUCUCUGCCAAUAUUCCUGCUCUUUACAAUAGUAAACAGCUUGAAGACUUUUUCAAGGGUGGAAUAAUUAAUGAUAGUUCUGAAUUAAUUGGUCCUGCUGAAGCUCACUCAGAUUCCCUCAUUGAUACCUUUCCUGAGUGUAGUACGGAAGAGUUUGAAUUUCAGAGAAGUUUAGCCAUGUGCCGAAGAUAC